AGAGUUUGAUCCUGGCUCAGAACGAACGCUGGCGGCAGGCCUAACACAUGCAAGUCGAACGAGAAGCUUCUUUCGGGAAGUGGAGAGUGGCGCACGGGUGAGUAACGCGUGGGAAUUUACCUUCUGGUACGGGAUAACGUUUGGAAACGAACGCUAAUACGGUAUGAGCUCUACGGAGUAAAGAUUUAUCGCCAGAGGAUGAGCCCGCGUAGGAUUAGAUAGUUGGUGGGGUAACGGCCUACCAAGUCGACGAUCUUUAGCUGUUCUGAGAGGAAGAUCAGCCACACUGGAACUGAGACACGGUCCAGACUCCUACGGGAGGCAGCAGUGGGGAAUAUUGGACAAUGGGGGCAACCCUGAUCCAGCCAUGCCGCGUGAGUGAAGAAGGCCUUAGGGUUGUAAAGCUCUUUCGCUAGGGAAGAUAAUGACGGUACCUAGUAAAGAAGUCCCGGC
rnacentral:rRNA from 1 species